rnacentral:rRNA from 1 species
AUUGAACGCUGGCGGCAGGCUUAACACAUGCAAGUCGAACGAGUGGCGGACGGGUGAGUAAUGCUUGGGAAUCUAGCUUAUGGAGGGGGAUAACUACGGGAAACUGUAGCUAAUACCGCGUACCAUAGGAUGAGCCCAAGUGGGAUUAGGUAGUUGGUAGGGUAAAGGCUCACCAAGCCGAAGAUCUCUAGCUGGUCUGAGGGGUUGACCAGCCACACGGGGCGCGAGACACGGCCCAGACUCCUCCGGGAGGCAGCAGUGGGGAAUAUUUCGCAAUGGGGGCAACCUGACGCAGCCAUGCCGCGUGAAUGAAGAAGGCCUUCGGGUUGGAAAGUUCUUUCGGUAGCGAGGCGUUAACUACAGAAGAAGCACCGGCUAACUCCGUGCCAGCAGCCGCGGUAAUUC